AAAUUGAAGAGUUUGAUCAUGGCUCAGAUUGAACGCUGGCGGCAGGCCUAACACAUGCAAGUCGAACGGUAACAGGAAGCAGCUUGCUGCUUCGCUGACGAGUGGCGGACGGGUGAGUAAUGUCUGGGAAGCUGCCUGAUGGAGGGGGAUAACUACUGGAAACGGUAGCUAAUACCGCAUAAUGUCGCAAGACCAAAGAGGGGGACCUUCGGGCCUCUUGCCAUCGGAUGUGCCCAGAUGGGAUUAGCUUGUUGGUGGGGUAACGGCUCACCAAGGCGACGAUCCCUAGCUGGUCUGAGAGGAUGACCAGCCACACUGGAACUGAGACACGGUCCAGACUCCUACGGGAGGCAGCAGUGGGGAAUAUUGCACAAUGGGCGCAAGCCUGAUGCAGCCAUGCCGCGUGUAUGAAGAAGGCCUUCGGGUUGUAAAGUACUUUCAGCGGGGAGGAAGGGAGUAAAGUUAAUACCUUUGCUCAUUGACGUUACCCGCAGAAGAAGCACCGGCUAACUCCGUGCCAGCAGCCGCGGUAAUACGGAGGGUGCAAGCGUUAAUCGGAAUUACUGGGCGUAAAGCGCACGCAGGCGGUUUGUUAAGUCAGAUGUGAAAUCCCCGGGCUCAACCUGGGAACUGCAUCUGAUACUGGCAAGCUUGAGUCUCGUAGAGGGGGGUAGAAUUCCAGGUGUAGCGGUGAAAUGCGUAGAGAUCUGGAGGAAUACCGGUGGCGAAGGCGGCCCCCUGGACGAAGACUGACGCUCAGGUGCGAAAGCGUGGGGAGCAAACAGGAUUAGAUACCCUGGUAGUCCACGCCGUAAACGAUGUCGACUUGGAGGUUGUGCCCUUGAGGCGUGGCUUCCGGAGCUAACGCGUUAAGUCGACCGCCUGGGGAGUACGGCCGCAAGGUUAAAACUCAAAUGAAUUGACGGGGGCCCGCACAAGCGGUGGAGCAUGUGGUUUAAUUCGAUGCAACGCGAAGAACCUUACCUGGUCUUGACAUCCACGGAAGUUUUCAGAGAUGAGAAUGUGCCUUCGGGAACCGUGAGACAGGUGCUGCAUGGCUGUCGUCAGCUCGUGUUGUGAAAUGUUGGGUUAAGUCCCGCAACGAGCGCAACCCUUAUC
rnacentral:rRNA from 1 species